UACGGGGGGGGCAAGCGUUGUUCGGAAUUACUGGGCGUAAAGGGUCUGUAGGUGGCUUGCUAAGUCAGACGUGAAAUCCCUCGGCUUAACCGGGGAACUGCGUCUGAUACUGGAUGGCUUGAGUUUGGGAGAGGGACGCGGAAUUCCAGGUGUAGCGGUGAAAUGCGUAGAUAUCUGGAGGAACACCGGUGGCGAAGGCGGCGUCCUGGACCAAUACUGACACUGAGGAGCGAAAGCCAGGGGAGCAAACGGG
rnacentral:rRNA from 1 species